AAGCUGGUCUCAAACUCCUAAACUCCUGACGUCAAGUGAUCUGCCUUCCUCAGGCCUCCCAAAGUGCUGGUAUUACAGGCAUGAGCCACCUCACCCUGCCCACAUUCACACUGUAAUAAUACAUUGAGGUUACAUAACACUGGUACUCUUCUCCCCAAAGCAAAUAUACAGGUAGUCUUAAAUUCUUCAUUAAAAUAUAACUUUUAUAUGAAGUAGGGGGAAAAAUUAAAUGAAUAUUAAUAAUUAGCUAUACUGUCACAACACAAAUAAAUUAAAAUAUUCAUAUUGAAUCCAUGACUAAAAUAAUACAAAUCUAUUUCAGAAAGAGCACAUGGUACAAGAUAGCAUCUAACCUAGCAAUUGUUCUACUAGGGAUCACUGUUACACUUCCAAAGCGUCACUUUAGAUAUUCAGCUGCAACUAGUUAUGCCACUAGUGCCGGGGGUGUGAGAUAUCAGAAGGUAAGAACAGAACUGUGAGUCAGAGCCAUAUUCUCAAAUUUAUAUAUUCUGCCAUAAAUAAACUGCUACUCCAUAAAGCACUCCAAAACAUGUAGUGUAA
rnacentral:lncRNA from 1 species